UACAGAAUCCCCAAGCGUUAUCCGGAUUUAUUGGGCGUAAAGGGUCCGUAGGCGGUUUAGUAAGUCUGAUGUUAAAGCCCUUGGGCUUAACCUAAGGAAUGCAUCAGAAACUGCUAAACUAGAGGGCGUUAGAGGCUGAUAGAACGCUCGGUGUAGGGGUGAAAUCCGUUGAUAUCGAGCGGAAUACCAAAAGCGAAGGCAUUCAGCUGGGGCGACCCUGACGCUGAGGGACGAAAGCAUGGGUAGCAAAAAGGAUUAGAUACCCGCGUA
rnacentral:rRNA from 1 species